rnacentral:piRNA from 2 species
GCAAAGCACAGGGCCUGCAGAGAGG